rnacentral:rRNA from 1 species
CUACGGGAUGCACCAGUGGGGAAUAUUGCACAAUGGACGAAAGUCUGAUGCAGCAACGCCGCGUGGAGGAUGACACUUUUCGGAGCGUAAACUCCUUUUAUAUAGGAAGAUAAUGACGGUACUAUAUGAAUAAGCACCGGCUAACUCCGUGCCAGCAGCCGCGGUAAUACGGAGGGUGCAAGCGUUACUCGGAAUCACUGGGCGUAAAGAGCGUGUAGGCGGAUAGAUAAGUCAGGAGUGAAAUCCUAUGGCUCAACCAUAGAACUGCUCUUGAAACUGUCUAUCUAGAAUAUGGGAGAGGUAGAUGGAAUUUCUGGUGUAGGGGUAAAAUCCGUAGAGAUCAGAAGGAAUACCGAUUGCGAAGGCGAUCUACUGGAACAUUAUUGACGCUGAGACGCGAAAGCGUGGGGAGCAAACAGGAUUAGAUACCCCUGUAGUC